rnacentral:rRNA from 1 species
GGGGAUAGCCCGGCGAAAGCCGGAUUAAUACCGCAUACGAUCUACGGAUGAAAGCGGGGGACCUUCGGGCCUCGCGCUAUUGGGGUGGCCGAUGGCGGAUUAGCUAGUUGGUGGGGUAAAGGCCCACCAAGGCGACGAUCCGUAGCUGGUCUGAGAGGACGACCAGCCACACUGGGACUGAGACACGGCCCAGACUCCUACGGGAGGCAGCAGUGGGGAAUUUUGGACAAUGGGCGAAAGCCUGAUCCAGCAAUGCCGCGUGUGUGAAGAAGGCCUUCGGGUUGUAAAGCACUUUUGUCCGGAAAGAAAUCCUGGUGGCUAAUAUCCGCCGGGGAUGACGGUACCGGAAGAAUAAGCACCGGCUAACUACGUGCCAGCAGCCGCGGUAAUACGUAGGGUGCGAGCGUUAAUCGGAAUUACUGGGCGUAAAGCGUGCGCAGGCGGUGAUGUAAGACCGAUGUGAAAUCCCCGGGCUUAACCUGGGAACUGCAUUGGUGACUGCAUCGCUGGAGUAUGGCAGAGGGGGGUAGAAUUCCACGUGUAGCAGUGAAAUGCGUAGAGAUGUGGAGGAAUACCGAUGGCGAAGGCAGCCCCCUGGGCCAAUACUGACGCUCAUGCACGAAAGCGUGGGGAGCAA